rnacentral:tRNA from 1 species
GGGGUCGUAGCGUAGCCCGGUCUAACGCGUCAGAUUGUCAAUCUGAAGAUCGCGGGUUCAAAUCCCGUCGGCCCCG